rnacentral:lncRNA from 1 species
UGGGCCCAGCUCGGACUGGUCCGCCGGGCCCAAGGGCUCUGGUGCCUUCUGGAAAGCGCUGGCUGGGACUUCACCCUCCUCCUGCAUGUGACGGACACAGCACUGAUCCUGGCAGCUCCUUACCCCCAGCAGCCCGAAACUCACUCCUUAAUUACACAAGGGAAACCUUUUACCUCCGCAGCCAGAGUCUGGGGGGAAAGGCAGGCGUGGGAAGAUGGGUUCUCUACCUGGCCAGUGCCAUGUUGCCUGUUUCUUUACUGUAACUGUGGUGACAAAGAAAAGGGAAGAUGGAGCCUCCAUGUUGAACAUACCUGGCCCCCAGCACUAACUCCCUCUCUGGAUAUCUGGAACAAGGAGGACCUUAAACUUAACAAUAAAGCCAAUGAUGGUUCUACCAGUCUCCCCAAAGCCUCAAGUUUAAAAGCCAUAUGAACUGGCUGAUAGUGGAAAAUGGAAGCCAUGAGGAAAUCAGAUUAGAGUACUACCUGGUGAAGCCUGGAGGACCUACCAAGAAAAGCAAACUUGGAUCUUUGCAAGGUUAGAAGAACGAAUGGGAUCCAAGAAAAAGACUGGUCAUAUUCAACGGCUAAGAGCGUUGGAGAAGGCCUGUGGAGUCUCAGCAGGUCAGGUCCAUGACUCAUGAGUAGACACCUGUGUUUCUACUGCCUGGUGCCAUAAUCAUAAACAAGGAAGAAACUGAGGACAGGAGGGGCCAAACAAGUUACAGUUUCAUCCCUCCAGAGAGCCAACAGAGUAUUUUGCACGAAGUUGAAGCUAAACAGGUAUUAUGUCCUAUCUCUGGACUGAAUGACUAGAUGCUACUCAGCUUCUGAACUAGAGGAAGCCUGGGACCUUGACCGCACUAAUGCUGAUGACAGCGGAUUUGCAAGUGGCUAGAGGUACCAGAUUUAGCAAAUCAAAAUAUAGGACGUCAAGUUAAAUUUAAGUGUAAGAUAAGCUACGAAUACCUUUUCUAGUAUUAGUACGUCCCAUGCAAUAUACUAGAAAUGUUAUUCGUUAUUUAUGUUAAAUUUAAUUUUAUUAGGGCAUCCUAUAUUUUACCUGUCAAUCCAACCCAUGACCUAGGCAGACACUGUAGAAAAACAAAAGGAGAAUUAAGGAGAUAAAUGAAACACAGGGUGAGCUGAAAAGAGGUGCUCUGUGAAUUUGAGGGUCCAGUAGGAGCUGACUUGUAGGUACUUGGUCUGUUUUGAUGCCCACAACAACCUUGGGGAAGGGGCGGAAUAGCAGAGGGGUAAGCUCUCUGCCCCCCACCAGGGUUCUGCAGGACGCCAGGGCUUUUAUCAGCACCCCUAUGUUCACAUCCUGGCUGCACCCUCCUUGGUUGUAUAUACUCUGGAUAAUUCACUUAAUUUAAAUCUUGCUGCUUUUAUAAAAUUGAUAAAAAGUUAAUAGUGACACUGAUCACACUGAUGUCCCUCAAUGAAUUAUCAAUAUGUUUUUUCUUCCCACCUAUAUUCUUUAUUGAACUCUGUUAUUUUUGAUCCUGGUCUAGAGUAAGCAUUAUGACCAUGCAAGAGUGAAAUGAAAUUUUUAAAAAUAAUUUUUUAAUGUUUUCUGAAUGCUGGGUGUUUUCAAUGAUCAUGCAUGACUGGCAGCAAAGAGGAACGAGGAUGGAUUCGAUAAGGUGCAACAAGUCCUGAACACACACAGAGAACUGGCUGUGAAUCCUGUUUCUGCCACUCACCACUUACUUGUUGGUGAAAAUGCUCAGGAUGUUCACUGCAGCCUGCCUCACCCUGGAAAAGAGAUGUGAGGAUAAUGAGAAAGAAGAGUAUGUUCAGUGCGGAGCAUGCAAAUUUGCAUGAAAACUUCCCAGGCAAAGCAGGAAAGAAACCAGACCUCUUUUCUGCACAAUAAUGGGGCCCACUAACUCUGGGGAAAAGAGUAAUCAGCAAAUGCCUUUCCUUUCUCCUGCUGAUGUUUUGCCCGUACUCAGACCCCUUGACUUCUUAGCUUCUACCCAAAGUGAGCUUGUCAUCAAAGUUCUCCAAAAAUCUGCAGUGUUCUCUUGAGCAAAUCUGUUCAAUACACUGAUUGAGGCCAGGCGCGGUGGCUCACAC